UACGUAGGUGGCGAGCGUUGUCCGGAAUUACUGGGUGUAAAGGGCGUGUAGGCGGGAAUACAAGUCAGAUGUGAAAUACCGAGGCUUAACUUCGGGGCUGCAUCUGAAACUGUGUUUCUUGAGUGUCGGAGAGGAAAGUGGAAUUCCCAGUGUAGCGGUGAAAUGCGUAGAUAUUGGGAGGAACACCAGUGGCGAAGGCGACUUUCUGGACGAUAACUGACGCUGAGGCGCGAAAGCGUGGGGAGCAAACAGG
rnacentral:rRNA from 1 species